rnacentral:rRNA from 1 species
GAUGAACGCUGGCGGCGUGCCUAAUACAUGCAAGUCGAGCGAACGGACGAGAAGCUUGCUUCUCUGAUGUUAGCGGCGGACGGGUGAGUAACACGUGGAUAACCUACCUAUAAGACUGGGAUAACUUCGGGAAACCGGAGCUAAUACCGGAUGAUAUUUUGAACCGCAUGGUUCAAAAGUGAAAGACGGUCUUGCUGUCACUUAUAGAUGGAUCCGCGCUGCAUUAGCUAGUUGGUAAGGUAAGGGCUUAUCAAGGCAACGAGGCAUAGCCGACCUGAGAGGGGGAUGGGCCACCGGAGAGCGGGACCGGGUCCAACGCUCCUGCGGGAGGGCCCAGACGGGAAUCUGCGGCAAGGGGGGAGAGCAGGGCAGAACAGGCGGGCGUGAGUGAUAACAGUCUUGGGAUCGUAAAGCCUUUUUAUGGGGGAAAAACAUAUGUGGAAGGACAUGUACACUUAGUGACGGUACUUAAUAAAAAAGCCCCGGCUAACUACGUG